rnacentral:rRNA from 1 species
GACGAACGCUGGCGGCGUGCUUAACACAUGCAAGUCGAACGGUAAGGCCCCUUCGGGGGUACACGAGUGGCGCACGGGUGCGUAACACGUGAGCAACCUGCCCUUGACUCUGGAAUAACAGUUGGAAACAGCUGCUAAUACUGGAUAUUCAUCGUCUCCUUCCUGGGGGGUGGUGGAAAGCUCCGGCGGUCAGGGAUGGGCUCGCGGCCUAUCAGCUUGUUGGUGAGGUAAUGGCUCACCAAGGCUUCGACGGGUAGCCGGCCUGAGAGGGCGACCGGCCACACUGGGACUGAGAUACGGCCCAGACUCCUACGGGAGGCAGAAGUGGGGAAUAUUGCACAAUGGGCGCAAGCCUGAUGCAGCAACGCCGCGUGCGGGAUGACGGCCUUCGGGUUGUAAACCGCUUUCAGUAGGGACGAAGGGUGACUGACGGUACCUACAGAAGAAGGACCGGCUAACUACGUG